rnacentral:misc_RNA from 1 species
GCUAGGAAGUGAAUAGACGGUGGAGUGGAGGUGUAAACAUAGACUUUUAAAUUGCUCGUCCUUCACAAGCAAGCAGUAUUUUCCUUGAAAUGGGAUGCUGAGUAUGACAGCCAAUCUGCUUCCAAAAAGUCUUUCGUCUCUUGGUAGGUCGAUGGCCAAUAUGGCUCUAUGAGCUUCUUUUUAUUGUACCGCUGAAAGCUGAGGCGGA